AUUGAACGCUGGCGGCAUGCUUUACACAUGCAAGUCGAACGGUAACAGGCCUUCGGGUGCUGACGAGUGGCGAACGGGUGAGUAAUGCAUCGGAACGUACCCAGAGGUGGGGGAUAACGCAGCGAAAGCUGUGCUAAUACCGCAUGUGAUCUGAGGAUGAAAGCGGGGGACCGAGCAGCAAUGUUUGGCCUCGCGCCUUUGGAGCGGCCGAUGUCGGAUUAGCUAGUUGGUGGGGUAAAGGCCUACCAAGGCGACGAUCCGUAGCUGGUCUGAGAGGACGACCAGCCACACUGGGACUGAGACACGGCCCAGACUCCUACGGGAGGCAGCAGUGGGGAAUUUUGGACAAUGGGCGCAAGCCUGAUCCAGCAAUGCCGCGUGCGGGAAGAAGGCCUUCGGGUUGUAAACCGCUUUUGGCAGGAACGAAACGGUGUCCGCUAAUACCGGGCGCUAAUGACGGUACCUGCAGAACAAGCACCGGCUAACUACGUG
rnacentral:rRNA from 1 species